AUUGAACACUGGCGGCAGGCCUAACACAUGCAAGUCGAGCGGUAGCACAGGAGAGCUUGCUCUCCGGGUGACGAGCGGCGGACGGGUGAGUAAUGUCUGGGAAACUGCCUGAUGGAGGGGGAUAACUACUGGAAACGGUAGCUAAUACCGCAUAACGUCGCAAGACCAAAGAGGGGGACCUUCGGGCCUCUUGCCAUCAGAUGUGCCCAGAUGGGAUUAGCUAGUAGGUGGGGUAACGGCUCACCUAGGCGACGAUCCCUAGCUGGUCUGAGAGGAUGACCAGCCACACUGGAACUGAGACACGGUCCAGACUCCUACGGGAGGCAGCAGUGGGGAAUAUUGCACAAUGGGCGCAAGCCUGAUGCAGCCAUGCCGCGUGUAUGAAGAAGGCCUUCGGGUUGUAAAGUACUUUCAGCGGGGAGGAAGGUGCUGAGGUUAAUAACCUCAGCAAUUGACGUUACCCGCAGAAGAAGCACCGGCUAACUCCGUGCCAGCCGCCGCAGUAAAAC
rnacentral:rRNA from 1 species